AUUGAACGCUGGCGGCAUGCCUUACACAUGCAAAUCGAACGGCAGCACGGGUGCUUGCACCUGGUGGCGAGUGGCGAACGGGUGAGUAAUACAUCGGAACGUACCUUAUCGUGGGGGAUAACGCAGCGAAAGCUGUGCUAAUACCGCAUACGCCCUGAGGGGGAAAGCGGGGGAUCGCAAGACCUCGCGCGAUUAGAGCGGCCGAUGCCUGAUUAGCUAGUUGGUGGGGUAAAAGCCCACCAAGGCGACGAUCAGUAGCUGGUCUGAGAGGACGAUCAGCCACACUGGGACUGAGACACGGCCCAGACUCCUACGGGAGGCAGCAGUGGGGAAUUUCGGACAAUGGGGGCAACCCUGAUCCAGCAAUGCCGCGUGAGUGAAGAAGGCCUUCGGGUUGUAAAGCUCUUUUGUCAGGGAAGAAACACCGGCUCUAACACAGUCCGGGAAUGACGGUACCUGAAGAAUAAGCACCGGCUAACUACGUGCCAGCAGCCGCCGCGG
rnacentral:rRNA from 1 species